UCACUAAGCGGAGGAAAAGAAACUAACAAGGAUUCCCUUAGUAACUGCGAGUGAACAGGGAUUAGCCCAGCACCGAAGCCUGUGGUUAUUUGACUGCAAGGCAAUGUGGUGUUUAGGUUUGUUCUUGGCAUUACUGCUCUGCCCCAAGUCCAGCAAUGAGUACGGCAUACCGUUCUGGCCCAAAGAGGGUGAAAGGCCCGUGGGGGUAGAGACCAAGCAUGACAGUUUUGUCCAGAGCUUACCUUGGAGUCGGGUUGUUUGAGAAUGCAGCCCAAAGUGGGUGGUAAACUCCAUCCAAGGCUAAAUACUUGCACGAGUCCGAUAGUAAACAAGUACCGUGAGGGAAAGUUGAAAAGUACUUUGAAGAGAGAGUAAACAGUGCGUGAAACCGCUCAGAGGUAAACGGGUGGAGUUGAACUGCGAUCCUUGGGAAUUCAGCUGAUGAGCAUGAUUUGUGCUUGGGCAUAUUGACCGCCUUUCAGUGUCUGCUUAACUGCGGGUGCCUGCCUCUGGUGGGUAUGUGUGGUGCGCUUAUCAUGUGCCGCACGCAUUGGAGGGUGUAUGAGUCUGCUUGUCGGUGCACUUUCUCAGGGUGUUCACCACGACCGGCACUGCUGUCUGUCUGCUUUGGUCAAACUGAUCAGGUCUGAUUAACGUUGGGCUUGGUUGGGUUGGCAGGUGACUCACUGGUCCAUUCUGUGGGCUAUGAGUGUUACUAGCCGGCUUUAGUGGAUCUGUACGGUGUGUCGGAGACGGCGGCUUUGCAUAUGCGCUCUGUCCUUCAGGCGUGGUUGAGUCUGGUCGACUUGUUGCUAGUUUCGGCUGGUCAGUUGAUGGCUUGAUCAUGUUCAGUUGGCAGUGGUGUGUGUGUCUUAGUUUGGGCCAAUAGUCUGUGGUGUUGUGGUAGACUAUCCACCUGACCCGUCUUGAACACGGACCAAGGAGUUUAACAUGUGCGCGAGUCAUUGGGCUUUACGAAACCCAAAGGCGCAGUGAAGGUAAAGGUUUGGCUUGUCCAGGCUGAGGUGAGAUCCUGUUGUUUUGCUCAUUAAUUCCAAGCUGCGAGCAGCAGGCGCAUCACCGGCCCGUCCCAUGACGUAGACAUGUGGCCUUGUGCUAUGUGCACCGUCGGGGCGGAGCAAGAGCGUACAUGUUGAGACCCGAAAGAUGGUGAACUAUGCUUGCGAAGGUUGAAGCCAGAGGAAACUCUGGUGGAGGACCGUAGCGAUUCUGACGUGCAAAUCGAUCGUAUAACGUGAGUAUAGGGGCGAAAGACUAAUCGAACCAUCUAGUAGCUGGUUCCCUCCGAAGUUUCCCUCAGGAUAGCUGGCAUUCUGAGAUAUAAACAGUUUUAUCCGGUAAAGCGAAUGAUUAGAGGCAUUGGGGAGAAAACAUCCUCAACCUAUUCUCAAACUUUAAAUGGGUGAGAAGCUUAACUCGCUUAAAUGGAGUUUUGCAUUGAAUGUGAGUGCCAAGUGGGCCAUUUUUGGUAAGCAGAACUGGCGCUGUGGGAUGAACCAAACGUGCGGUUAAGGUGCCUAACGCGACGCUCAUGAGAUACCACAAAAGGUGUUGGUUGGUCCAGACAGCAGGACGGUGG
rnacentral:rRNA from 1 species